ACAAGCGGUGGAGCAUGUGGUUAAUUCGAUGCAACGCGAAGAACCUUACCUGGUCUUGACCUCCACGGAAGUUUCAGAGAUGAGAAUGUGCCUUCGGGAACCGUGAGACAGGUGCUGCAUGGCUGUCGUCAGCUCGUGUUGUGAAAUGUUGGGUUAAGUCCCGCAACGAGCGCAACCCUUAUCCUUUGUUGCCAGCGGUCCGGCCGGGAACUCAAAGGAGACUGCCAGUGAUAAACUGGAGGAAGGUGGGAUGACGUCAAGUCAUCAUGGCCCUUACGACCAGGGCUACACACGUGCUACAAUGGCGCAUACAAAGAGAAGCGACCUCGCGAGAGCAAGCGGACCUCAUAAAGUGCGUCGUAGUCCGGAUUGGAGUCUGCAACUCGACUCCAUGAAGUCGGAAUCGCUAGUAAUCGUGGAUCAGAAUGCCACGGUGAAUACGUUCCCGGGCCUU
rnacentral:rRNA from 1 species